rnacentral:rRNA from 1 species
CACCUGAUCCAGCCAUUCCGCGUGAGUGAAGGAGGCCUUCGGGUUGUAAAGCUCUUUCAGCAGGAACGAAACGGUGGUCCCUAAUACGGGCUACUAAUGGCGGUACCUGAAGAAGAAGCACCGGCUAACUACGUGCCAGCGGCCGCGGUAAUACGUAGGGUGCGAGCGUUAAUCGGAAUUACUGGGCGUAAAGCGUGCGCAGGCGGUUAUAUAGGACAGAUGUGAAAUCCCCGGGCUUAACCUGGGAACUGCGUUUGUGACUGUAUAACUCGAGUGUGGCAGAGGA